rnacentral:rRNA from 1 species
CUACGGGAUGCAGCAGUGGGGGAUAUUGCACAAUGGGCGAAAGCCUGAUGCAGCAACGCCGCGUGAAGGAAGACGGAUUUCGGUCUGUAAACUUCUAUCAGCUGGGAAGAAAAUGACGGUACCAGACUAAGAAGCCCCGGCUAACUACGUGCCAGCAGCCGCGGUAAUACGUAGGGGGCAAGCGUUAUCCGGAUUUACUGGGUGUAAAGGGUACGUAGGCGGUCGCUUAAGUCAGAUGUGAAAGCCCGAAGCUCAACUUCGGGACUGCAUUUGAAACUGGGUGACUAGAGUACAGGAGAGGAAAGCGGAAUUCCUAGUGUAGCGGUGAAAUGCGUAGAUAUUAGGAAGAACACCAGUGGCGAAGGCGGCUUUCUGGACUGUAACUGACGCUGAGGUACGAAAGCGUGGGGAGCGAACAGGAUUAGAUACCCCUGUAGUC